UACGUAGGGGGCUAGCGUUGUCCGGAAUCAUUGGGCGUAAAGCGCGUGUAGGCGGUCCGGUAAGUCCGCUGUGAAAGUCGAGGGCUCAACCCUCGAAUGCCGGUGGAUACUGUCGGGCUAGAGUACGGAAGAGGCGAGUGGAAUUCCUGGUGUAGCGGUGAAAUGCGCAGAUAUCAGGAGGAACACCAAUAGCGAAGGCAGCUCGCUGGGACGGUAUUGACGCUGAGGCGCGAAAGCGUGGGGAGCAAACAGG
rnacentral:rRNA from 1 species